GGGUCGAACUGUUGUGCAGUAAAUGCGUCCUUUGGUUGAAAACUGAUGUCUCGCCUACGCCACAAGUGACGCAAACUGGAAAAGGCCGAUCG
rnacentral:precursor_RNA from 1 species